rnacentral:rRNA from 1 species
GAAUUCGCCCUUAGAGUUUGAUCCUGGCUCAGGACGAACGCUGGCGGCGUGCUUAACACAUGCAAGUCGAACGGGGAUUAAUUGCGGAAGGCUUCGGCCGGAAGGGAUUAAUUCGAGUGGCGGACGGGUGAGUAACGCGUGAGCAAUCUGUCCCGGACAGGGGGAUAACACUUGGAAACAGGUGCUAAUACCGCAUAGGACCACGGCCUCGCAUGGGGCUGAGGUGAAAGGAGCAAUCCGGUCUGGGGUGAGCUCGCGUCCGAUUAGCCAGUUGGCGGGGUAACGGCCCACCAAAGCGACGAUCGGUAGCCGGACUGAGAGGUUGAACGGCCACAUUGGAACUGAGAGACGGUCCAAACUCCUACGGGAGGCAGCAGUGGGGAAUAUUGGGCAAUGGGCGAAAGCCUGACCCAGCAACGCCGCGUGAGUGAAGAAGGCCUUCGGGUUGUAAAGCUCUGUUAUGAGGGACGAAGAGCGUGACGGUACCUCAUAAGGAAGCCCCGGCUAACUACGUGCCAGCAGCCGCGGUAAUACGUAGGGGGCGAGCGUUGUCCGGAAUGACUGGGCGUAAAGGGCGUGUAGGCGGCCUGAUAAGUCUGGAGUGAAAGUCCUGCAUUCAAUGUGGGAAGGGCUUUGGAUACUGUCGGGCUUGAGUGCAGAAGAGGUAAGCGGAAUUCCCAGUGUAGCGGUGAAAUGCGUAGAGAUUGGGAGAAACACCAGUGGCGAAGGCGGCUUACUGGGCUGUAACUGACGCUGAGGCGCGAAAGCGUGGGGAGCGAACAGGAUUAGAUACCCUGGUAGUCCACGCGGUAA